rnacentral:lncRNA from 1 species
GUUGUAGUCUUGUAUUAAAAGAAAAAAAAGUCGUCCUGUCUCAUUAUAAUAGAUGAUUAAAAAAAACAAGAAGUCCAAACAUCUGACUAAAAUUCCUAAAUCUUACACAAGUACAUAAGUAUGUAUACACAUUGAACAGUCGUAGAUAUUAGUAAACAAUUGAUUUCCAGACUACCUAUUCCAAUUUUAACACCAUUUAAAUUCAUUAAAAGGCGUCACCGAUCACUAAAAUGAGAUUGUUAAGUUUGACAAAAUUAAGAUUUCACCAGACAAACGAUCGACAAUGACUGUUUCUGGAUAUCUUCAAGCGGUACUCAUUUUCCAACAAAAAAGAAGGAAUUAAAAUACAUAACAUACGAUUGAUUGGUCUUGAUUUGAGCAAAAGUAACUAAGUAGAAAUUCAUGUUUGGAGAGUAAAAAAAAAACCAACAAAAUCACUGAAAUAAGUAAUAUCAAAAUCACUAGUG